GUUGUUUACACCAUUGCUUGCAUUUAUACUGGGCGAGAUAUCACCUUCACCAAGGUUAUGAGCGUUGUCCCUAAGGUUUGGAAGAGGCUUAUGGUCACAUUUUUGUGUAUUUUUGGUGCUCUUUUUGCCUACAACAUAGUUGCUUUCCUGAUCUUUAUCGCAUGGAUAAUUUUGAUUUCUGACACUAGUAUUGGGGCUGUGACUUUCUUUGCUUUCUGUAUUUUGUACGCCGUGGGUAUCGUGUACUUGACCAUAAUUUGGCAGCUGGCUAGUGUUGUGUCUGUGCUAGAGGAGGCUUGUGGGUUU
rnacentral:misc_RNA from 1 species